rnacentral:tRNA from 1 species
AGAUUUAAAAAUUUCCGCAGGCA